rnacentral:rRNA from 1 species
GGGACUGCGGAGGACAUUAUCGAGUUUUGACUGGGUUGUAGCUGGCCUUCCGAGGCAUGUGCACGCCCUGCUCAUCCACUUUACACCUGUGCACUUACUGUGGGUAUCAGAUCGUGAAGCGUGCUCUUUUACCGGAGCUUGUGAAGCGUGUCUGUGCCUGCGUUUAUCACAAACACUAUAAAGUAUCAGAAUGUGUAUUACGAUGUAACGCAUCUAUAUACAACUUUCAGCAACGGAUCUCUUGGCUCUCGCAUCGAUGAAGAACGCAGCGAAAUGCGAUAAGUAAUGUGAAUUGCAGAAUUCAGUGAAUCAUCGAAUCUUUGAACGCACCUUGCGCUCCUUGGUAUUCCGAGGAGCAUGCCUGUUUGAGUGUCAUGAAAUCUUCAACCUAUAAGCUUUUGUGGUUUGUAGGCUUGGACUUGGAGGCUUGUCGGCCUUGAUCGGUCGGCUCCUCUUAAAUGCAUUAGCUUGAUUCCUUGCGGAUCGGCUCUCGGUGUGAUAAUAUCUACGCCGCGACCGUGAAGCGUUUGGCGAGCUUCUAACCGUCUCACUUGAGAGACAACUUUAUGACCUCUGACCUCAAAUCAGGUAGGACUACCCGCUGAACUUAAGCAUAUCAAUAA